GCUGCCCUGCAGGUGCUGGAUCUGCUGGCACCACAGACAUUGGGGCACAGAGGAAGUGGCUGUUUCUACACUCAGUGCUCAGAACAGUGGGCACUAAAAAUAGUUUAUAGCCUGACAGUC
rfam:Myotis davidii contig29159, whole genome shotgun sequence.